rnacentral:rRNA from 1 species
UACGAAGGGCCCGAGCGUUAUCCGGAUUUAUUGGGCUUAAAGGGUGCGUAGGCGGAAUAGUAAGUCAGUGGUGAAAGCCUGUUGCUUAACAACAGAACUGCCAUCGAUACUGCUAAUCUUGAGUACAUAUGAUGUGGGCGGAAUGUGCCAUGUAGCGGUGAAAUGCUUAGAUAUGGCACAGAACACCGAUUGCGAAGGCAGCUCACAAAACUGUUACUGACGCUGAGGCACGAAAGCGUGGGGAUCAAACAGG